rnacentral:lncRNA from 1 species
UCAAAAAUCGAAGAGGUGACCGAUAGACAAAGUGUCAUUAUUGUAAAAUGCAUGGAGCAAACAAUUAAAUACAAGAACUUUAUUAGCCUUAAAAACUAGUUGAAGAUAUAAAGAUGUCAAACAUCUAGAAAUUUUGAUAGAGAUCACGUUUAUACAAAAAUAUUGUUUGUGAUCUCACGACUCGUCCAAACCCCUCAACUACUAUUUUGGAGCCACAUUCGAUCCAUCAGUGGAGCAGCAAACGACAAAUAUCAAUUAUCUCAACAUCCUAUGAUUGACCUUAAAAAAAAUAUCAAAUCCCUCAAUUUUCUUCCAAUUUUUUUU